rnacentral:lncRNA from 1 species
AGAGCCUACUACCAUGUAUUGUAGAUAUGUAGUAGUAGAGUAGUGGCCUGAGGGCACACACUUAAUGUGUUGUGAAAAGUGUUAUGAAUUGUAAUGUCAUGUAAUAUUUUUAGUUGUAUAUAACUGCCUUAAUAUUGCUAGACCUCAGGAAGGAGUAGCUGCUGCCUUGGCAGUAGCAUAAUGGGGAUCCUUAAUAAUGACAAAUACUGCUGCUCAUUAUCAGACAAGCUGACGCGGGAAUCGAGCCCUUCAAACUCGAUUCAAGCUGUUGGAUACUUUUUUUGCAACUUUCGCAGAAAUGUUUGGUGAUCGACUAGGAAUGCCUUGGAGAUUGACCAGUGGAUCACGAUCGACCGGUUGGUGACCACUGCUCUAGAAAUAAGACUGGCUGUCCCAACUGGAGUUGGCUAAUGGGAUCCGACGGGG